rnacentral:rRNA from 1 species
CCUACGGGAGGCUGCAGUGAGGAAUAUUGGUCAAUGGCCGGAAGGCUGAACCAGCCAUGCCGCGUGAAGGUCAGUGCCCUAUGGGCGUUAAACUUCUUUUGUGCGGGAGCAAUAAUGGUCACGUGUGGCCAGACGAGAGUACCGUACGAAUAAGCAUCGGCUAAAACCGUGCCAGCAGCCGCGGUCAUACGGGGGAUGCAAGCGUUAUCCCGAUUUAUUGGGCUUUAAGGGUGCGUAGGCUGUGAGGUAAGUCAGCGGUGAAAUGCCCCCGCUCAACGGGGUGAAGUGCCAUUGAUACUGCCGUGCUGGAAUGCGGAUGCAGUGGGAGGAAUGUGUGGUGUAGCGGUGAAAUGCAUAGAUAUCACACAGAACACCGAUUGCGAAGGCAUCUUACGAAUCCGCGAUUGACGCUGAUGCACGAAAGCGUGGGUAUCAAACAGGAUUAGAUACCCCAGUAGUC